AUUGAACGCUGGCGGCAUGCUUUACACAUGCAAGUCGAACGGCAGCACAGGGAGCUUGCUCCCGGGUGGCGAGUGGCGCACGGGUGAGUAACGCGUGGGUAACCUGCCUCAUACAGGGGGAUAACAGUUGGAAACGGCUGCUAAUACCGCAUAAGCCCACGGCUCGGCAUCGAGCAGAGGGAAAAGGAGUGAUCCGCUUUGAGAUGGCCUCGCGUCCGAUUAGCUAGUUGGUGAGGUAAUGGCCCACCAAGGCGACGAUCGGUAGCCGGACUGAGAGGUUGAACGGCCACAUUGGGACUGAGACACGGCCCAGACUCCUACGGGAGGCAGCAGUGGGGAAUAUUGCACAAUGGGGGAAACCCUGAUGCAGCAACGCCGCGUGAGUGAAGAAGUAUUCGGUAUGUAAAGCUCUAUCAGCAGGAAAGAAAAUGACGGUACCUGGACUAAGAAGCCCCGGNUAACUACGUG
rnacentral:rRNA from 1 species